rnacentral:rRNA from 1 species
UACGAAGGGGGCUAGCGUUGUUCGGAUUUACUGGGCGUAAAGCGCACGUAGGCGGAUAUUUAAGUUAGGGGUGAAAUCCCAGAGCUCAACUCUGGAACUGCCUCUAAUACUGGGUAUCUAGAGUUCGAGAGAGGUGAGUGGAAUUCCGAGUGUAGAGGUGAAAUUCGUAGAUAUUCGGAGGAACACCAGUGGCGAAGGCGGCUCACUGGCUCGAUACUGACGCUGAGGUGCGAAAGCGUGGGGAGCAAACAGG